rnacentral:lncRNA from 1 species
GACGUGCUACACUUUGGUGCUGGACUCCCUGGUGCUGAGCUCAGACUACAGGAAAAGCAGGUUUCGGAGCUGGUCCAGCUCCAUCUUCAGCAGCUCCUUCUCCGUCAUGUCCUGAGCCAUUUCUCCCUGUACUCGCGGGGAAAGGGCAGGCUCAGCACCACAGAGGCAGCCUGAGGGCAGCAGCAUGGGACCCAGCUUGGCUUUUAAGGAGAUCUUUGCUGCCACAGGG